CCUACGGGGGGCAGCAGUGAGGAAUAUUGGUCAAUGGACGAGAGUCUGAACCAGCCAAGUAGCGUGAAGGAUGACUGCCCUAUGGGUUGUAAACUUCUUUUAUAAAGGAAUAAAACGAGGCACGUGUGCCUUUUUGCAUGUACUUUAUGAAUAAGGAUCGGCUAACUCCGUGCCAGCAGCCGCGGUAAUACGGAGGAUCCGAGCGUUAUCCGGAUUUAUUGGGUUUAAAGGGAGCGUAGAUGGGUUGUUAAGUCAGUUGUGAAAGUUUGCGGCUCAACCGUAAAAUUGCAAGUGAUACUGGCAGUCGUGAGUACAGUUGAGGUAGGCGGAAUUCGUGGUGUAGCGGUGAAAUGCUUAGAUAUCACGAAGAACCCCGAGUGCGAAGGCAGCUUACUAAACUGUGACUGACAUUGAUGCUCGAAAGUGUGGGUAUCAAACAGGAUUAGAUACCCGAGUAGUC
rnacentral:rRNA from 1 species